GAUGAACGCUAGCUACAGGCUUAACACAUGCAAGUCGAGGGGCAGCAUGAACUUAGCUUGCUAAGUUUGAUGGCGACCGGCGCACGGGUGAGUAACACGUAUCCAACCUUCCGUUUACUCAGGGAUAGCCUUUCGAAAGAAAGAUUAAUACCUGAUAGUAUGGUGAGAUUGCAUGAUAACACCAUUAAAGAUUUAUUGGUAAACGAUGGGGAUGCGUUCCAUUAGGUAGUAGGCGGGGUAACGGCCCACCUAGCCUGCGAUGGAUAGGGGUUCUGAGAGGAAGGUCCCCCACAUUGGAACUGAGACACGGUCCAAACUCCUACGGGAGGCAGCAGUGAGGAAUAUUGGUCAAUGGGCGAGAGCCUGAACCAGCCAAGUAGCGUGAAGGAUGAAAGGUCCUACGGAUUGUAAAACUUCUUUUAUACGGGAAUAAAAGUUUCCUAC
rnacentral:rRNA from 1 species